GCUGUGGCUCAGUGGUAGAGCAUCUGCCUAGCAUGCAGAAGGUCCCAGGUUCAGUCCCUGGCAUGUCCA